rnacentral:rRNA from 1 species
UUUUAAGAUCAUUACACAUAUGCAGGCGCUAGAUCCCAUCUGAUCUUGGAAGCUAAGCAAGGUGAGCUCUGCAUAGUACUUGAAUGGGAGACCACCAGUGAAUACCAGAUGCUGUAGGCU